rnacentral:rRNA from 1 species
GAGGCGGUCCCAACAGUGUCCCCAUCAGCCCGAAGGCCAAGCUGGCAACUGUUGGCGUGGGUCUCGCUCGUUGCCUGACUAAACAGGAUGCUUCACAGUACGAACUGACGACGGCCAUGCACCUCCUCUCAGCUAGUCAAGUAGAGUCUUCAUCCCGACUAUCAUUCAGCUGUCUUAUCCGGUGAGAUUUCCGGCGUUGAGUCCGAUUAAACCGCAGGCUCCACCCGCUGUGGUGCUCCCCCGCCAAUUCCUUUAAGUUUCAGCCUUGCGACCGUACUCCCCAGGCGGCGCGUUUCACGGUUUCCCUUCGGCAUCUCAGUGACACGUGAUCACUGACACACCUAACGCGCAUCGUUUACAGCUGGGACUACCCGGGUAUCUAAUCCGGUUUGCUCCCCCAGCUUUCGUCCCUCACUGUCGGAGCCGUUCUGGUGAGAUGCCUUCGCCAUAGGUCGUCCCACCGGGAUUACAGGAUUUCACUCCUACCCCGGCAGUACCUCUCACCUCUCCCGGUCCCUAGAACCACAGUAUCCCCUGAACGCCCAUCAGUUAAGCCGAUGGAUUUCUCAAGGGACUUGUGAAUCAAGCUACGGACCCUUUAAGCCCAGUAAAAGCGGCCACCACUCGAGCCGCCGGUAUUACCGCGGCGGCUGGCACCGGUCUUGCCCGGCCCUUUCUUCACCAGUUUUUUACACUGGUGGACAGCCACCCUGUGGUGGCACUCGGGGUUUCCUUAUCACGGUUGCCCGCAUUGUAAAGUUUUCGCGCCUGCUGCGCCCCGUAGGGCCUGGAUUCGUGUCUCAGAAUCCAUCUCCGGGCUCUUGCUCCCACAACCCGUACCGAUUACGGGCUUGUUGGGCUUUUACCCCAACAACUACCUAAUCGGCCGCAGACUCAUCCUGAAGCGACGGAUCUUUCAUCCGGAGAACAUUCCAGUCCUCCCGGACUAUAGAGUAUUACCCCCAGUUUCCCGGGAUUAUCCUCCUCUUCAGGGCAGAUUGUCC